UUUGGAUUGAAGGUAA
rnacentral:sRNA from 1 species